GCCGGGGUGGUGAAAUUGGCAUACACGAGAGACUUAAAAUCUCUUGCUCGCAAGAGCUUGCGGGUUCAAGUCCCGCCCCCGGCACCA
rnacentral:tRNA from 1 species